CUUUAUGAGGUGCAACCAAAACAGCUGUUUGACAUAGCAACAGGGAUAUUCUGGCAGGCUGUCGAGAAUUAGUUCUUGAAUACUGUUGUGGUUUUGAUCACUAAAAUGGCUGUGACUUUUGGACUCUCUUUGAGUGUUUCUUGGAUUUGUUGCCUGCUAAUUGGAGGGAUAACUUGUUUUACACUUAAAGGUAACGCUCAUGGGCAUCCUGCCUACACUGGACCUGAACCGACUGGAUCCUAUGCCCAAGCAAGUGUGGUGUCUGGUCCAAAUGUUAAAGCUACUGGCCACAAUGCCACGUGAGCGGAAGCUACUGGCCACAAUGCCACGUG